CAUCCUUUGCUGCUAAUUUGAACUGGGAGUCACAGUUGCAAGUCACACUCAUCUCCAGCUCUGUAGUUUUCUGUCUCAGAUGUCCAUUAGUUCUUAUAUUAACAGGGAACGAAUAGGAUGUGUUUCGUAAUGACGAUUUUCUGCACCAUGUGGGACCUUGUUUACAACGUGGCUAGCUUUUUUAGAGUUCCAAAAUGCUACCGAAGCCAAGGCCAAGCCGGAUGCCCCCCUCCCCCAUGCAGGCUCAGUAACCUGCUGGUAUACAAGGAGGAUGUUCCCAUCUCAACUUUGGAGAGGCCUUUAACAAGUCGAAGUCUUCAUUAUACUUACAACAACAGCAACAUUGUAGCUCUAAUGGUUUUAUAUGGACAAUUAGUUAUAGUUGCAUGGCUGCAGUACAGUACUGUAUCAGGAAAAAUUUCAAUAUUAAAGAAAGCGUAGAUACAAAAUGGUUGAUUUUUGCAUUCUUUGUUGGUAAGGAAUGAGUAAUAGAGGAAAACACCACAAAACUUGUAUGAACCAUAUUGAUGAUAAUAAAUAUGAUUGGCAUGUAUUGACAUAACUGUCAAAGUGUCAACAUUGAGUUGUUUGUACACUUUAUAUAAGAAUGUUAAUCUUAAUAUAAGAAACUGAUUCUAGGUUUGUAGUUGCAAGAAAUUUAGUCUUGAAGACAGAAUGGUAUUGCAGGCACAAGAAAUCUCAAUCUCCAUGCAAGAAAGUGAUUCUUGAUGUACUAGAUAUAAGAAAAUCACUCUUGGAGACAGAAAGUAAAUCCUCAUACAAGAACCUCAAUCUUCAUGCAAGAAAGUCGUUUCUGGUGUAAGAAAUUCAGCCUUAGAGACAGAAAGGUAUUCCUGGAACAAGAACCUCAUUCUUGAUAUAAGAAAUUCAUUCUUCAGCAUGCAUGUAUUAGAAAUAGAUUCUGACCACAAGAAAACUAUUCUAGAAGUUCUGGUCCAUUAGUGAUAAGAAAAAAAUUCUUAGCACAAGAAAAAUAUGGGUUUCUUGAAUUUUCUCAAAACAGGGAUUCUUGUAUACAGAAUAAUAUUCUUGCUGCAAGGUCAGUUUUCUUUGUUCAAGAAAAAACAAGAAAGAUAAGAAAAUUCAUUUUUUGUAGUGUAGGG